GAUGAACGCUGGCGGCGUGCCUAACACAUGCAAGUCGAACGAGAAGGUAGGGCCAAAUGCUUCGGUGUGCGGUUCUACUGGGGAGUGGCGAACGGGUGAGUAACACGUGGGUGACCUGCCUCGAAGAGGGGGAUAACCAUUGGAAACGAUGGCUAAUACCGCAUGGUCCUGUUGGUAUGGGAAUAUUGACAGGUAAAGCUCCGGCGCUUCGAGGACGGGGCCUGCGUCCGAUUAGUUAGUUGGUGAGGUAACGGCUCACCAAGGCGAUGAUCGGUAGCUGGUCUGAGAGGACGAUCAGUCACACGGGAACUGAGACACCGGUCCCGACUCCGUACGGGGGGCAGCAGUGAGGAAUAUUGCACAAUGGGGGCAACCCUGAUGCAGCAACGUCGCGUGGAGGAUGAAGGUCUUUGGAUUGUAAACUCCUUUUUUCGGGGAAGAGGAAGGACGGUACCCGAAGAAUAAGUCACGGCUAACUACGUG
rnacentral:rRNA from 1 species